rnacentral:rRNA from 1 species
AUUGAACGCUGGCGGCAGGCCUAACACAUGCAAGUCGAGCGGAGCGGCGGACGGGUGAGUAAUGCCUAGGAAUCUGCCUGGUAGUGGGGGAUAACGUCCGGAAACGGGCGCUAAUACCGCAUACUAUCAGAUGAGCCUAGGUCGGAUUAGCUAGUGGGUGGGGUAAAGGCCUACCAAGGCGACGAUCCGUAACUGGUCUGAGAGGAUGAUCAGUCACACUGGAACUGAGCCACGGUCCAGAUUCCUCCGGGAGGAAGCAGGUGGGAAUAUUGAACAAUGGGCUAAAGCCUUGCCGAACCAUGGCGCGUGUGUGAAGAGUGUUUUCGAAUUGUAAAGCACUUUAAGUGGGGAGGGGUUCCCAACAGAAUAUGCCCCGGCUAACUUCGUGCCAGCAGCCGAGGUAAUAC